CUGAUCUUCAGUGACUCACAGUGUCUGAUACACAAACACAGAGAUCUCAACAGAGAACUGAAUUCAUCUUAUUCAACAUGGAUGAAUGCUGCUUACUCAUUUUCAUCGUGGCAACAGGUUUGGUGACUGGGGACAAAAUUGAACCUGAUAAAAAGACUGAAAUCAUUGCAAAAGAAACGGAAACUAUAAAACUGAGUUGUUCAUAUAGUACAGACAGCAAUGAUGUUCGACUUUACUGGUACCGAAAGUUUUCUUAUGGGGAACUUUUGUAUUUAUCGUAUAAAGGUGCUCGAUCAUUGAGUGCUGGAGAUUCAUCCGACCGUCGCUUUCAAGCAACUGCAUCACACACAUCCACUGAACUCAAUAUUAACAGUGUAACUCUCUCAGAUUCAGCUUUAUAUUACUGUGCACUAAGAGUUGAAGCCCAGUGAUACAAAACAUGAAGCAGAUCGUACAAAAACGUAAAAGUUAUU